rnacentral:lncRNA from 1 species
AGGAAAUAUACCAUACAAAGAGAGCAGCAAAUAAAAUGUAUGCGUGUGGUUUAAAGAAAUGCAAAAUGAGCACCCUCUGUGUGUACUGAAGUGCAUGCAAACAAUAUGAUUUUUUUUUUCCUCUGGAGACAGAGUCUUGCUCUGUUGCCCAGGCUGGAGUGCAAUGGCACAAUCUUCGCUCACUGCAACCUUCUCCUCCUAGGUUCAA